GAAAUGCGAUAAGUAAUGUGAAUUGCAGAAUUCAGUGAACCAUCGAGUCUUUGAACGCACAUUGCGCCCCUUGGUAUUCCGAGGGGCACGCCUGUCCGAGCGUCGUUCCAACCCCUCAAGCCCAGCUUGGUAUUGAGCCGCGCCCCGAGUGGGCGGGCUCGGAAGCCGUUGGCGGCACGGUGCCCCCGAGAAGCGUGAUGCACUCACCGACUCGGGCGGGCGCCCACCGACCUCAAACCCACACCCAUGAAGUCGACCUCGGAUCAGGCGGGGAUACCCGCUGAACUUAA
rnacentral:misc_RNA from 1 species